AAUUAAUAUAUUUCAAAUGACACUGAAGACAUUUUAGCUCCUUCUAUGCAAAUCAUCGAAGACUUAUUUUUUCUUUUCAUGUUGAUGCAUCAUACAGUGACCAUGAGCUAAUUAACAUUCAUUUGGAUCUUUGAUUAUCUCUUUAAAGCUCCAAGCCAACCACCAGCAAACAUUGCCUGGAAGCUGACAAACUCUAAAUUAUGCUUGAACUGGGAGCAUGUAAAAACCAUGGAAAAUGAGUCUGAAGUUUUGGGGUACAAGAUUCUGUACCGGCAAAACAGACAGAGUAAAACUCAUAUUUUGGAAACAAACAAUACAUCAGCUGAGCUUCUGGUUCCAUUUGAAGAAGACUACUUAAUUGAAAUAAGAACAGUCAGUGAUGGUGGAGAUGGAAGCAGCAGUGAGGAAAUUAGGAUUCCAAAAAUGUCAAGUAAGUUGAGUCACCAUUGCUGUAGUAGAUUCUGAACCUAGACAGCUGCAGCAUGAAAUUCAGCUCCAUGAAACCUUCCAGUUAUGGCUUAAAUGUUGGGUGAUAACAUAAAUUUUCAAUUGUGAGCAAAAGGUGAUGAGCCUUUUUUUAAAGUUAUUCUCCAAAAUUAUAACAUACUUAUACACUAUAAAUGGUUUUAUGCUUCCUCAUUUGAAAACCAAAAAGAGAACAGGAAAAAAAAAAUCUUUGCGUCAUUAGAGCAUAAUUGUAUCACUCAUUCUAUUAUCACAAAAAUCAGAAAGAUUUUUCAUAGAUUCUUUCGG
rnacentral:sRNA from 1 species